UACGGAGGGUGCAAGCGUUAUCCGGAUUUACUGGGUUUAAAGGGUGCGUAGGUGGUCAGAUAAGUCAGCGGUGAAAUCUCCGGGCUUAACUCGGAAACUGCCAUUGAUACUAUUUGUCUUGAAUAUCCUGGAGGUGAGCGGAAUAUGUCAUGUAGCGGUGAAAUGCUUAGAUAUGACAUAGAACACCCAUUGCGAAGGCAGCUCACUACGGGAUCAUUGACACUGAGGCACGAAAGCGUGGGGAUCAAACAGG
rnacentral:rRNA from 1 species